CUUUGGCAAAGUUAAUAAGGGCGCACGGUGGAUGCCUUGGCAUUAAGAGCCGACGAAGGACGUGACUAACGACGAUAUUCUAGGGGGAGCAGUAAGUAAGCAUUGAUCCCUAGGUCUCCGAAUGGGGAAACCCACUAUGUAAUGCAUAGUAUCCGUAAGUGAAUACAUAGCUUACGCGAAGGUAACGCAGAGAACUGAAACAUCUAAGUACCUGCAGGAAGAGAAAGUAAAGACGAUUUCCUAAGUAGCGGCGAGCGAACGGGAAACAGGCCAAACCAAGAAGCUUGCUUUUUGGGGUUGUAGGACUGCAACGUGGACUUAAAGUUUAUAGAAGAAUUACCUGGGAAGGUAAGCCAAAGAGAGUAACAGCCUCGUAUUUGAAAUAGACUUUAUACCUAGCAGUAUCCUGAGUAGGGCUGGACACGUGAAAUCCAGUU
rnacentral:rRNA from 1 species